UAAAAGGAUAUUAGAUUCUGUUACCUAAUUACUGCUUGUCUUUUAGAGUCACCAUGAGGAAGUCCAUUUUCAAGAACUUGGGAGGUUUCAGUUGCAGUGGAUUAUAAGAGGCACUGGAACAGCUGAUAUACUGAGGUGCCAUUAAGAAUUAUAUCACCACCGAAGCAUAAUCUUGCUGUAGACAUGAUUGCUUUGGGCGUAGGCUCCCAUGUCAGUGCCAAAAACGCUAAGACUUGGAGAAAGGAGAGGAGAAAGUAGAGCUACUUCCUCUGUAUGCUUUGCUGCUUGGAAAGGAGACAGAAAAACAGCAGGAAAUGCUCACUUCUUCUCUUGGGAUCUUUCAGGGACCUCCCACCUGAACAGGACGAUUGAACUUUGCUUUGGGCAGCUCUGGCAUGAGCAGUUGGGAAUCAGACUCUGGGCAAAGCAGGAGCAAAGAGCCUUUCUGAGUUUCCUCGACUGACUUCAAUGGACCUGUUUCUAGAGGGGCAUGAAGGUGGCUGUGACUUCAUAAGCAGAAUGGAAGUGAUUUGAUCUACACCGGGCCUGGGAAAAUUGGCUUAGGUGUGGCAAAGGUACAGAGUGUGAAACAGCGAUGACACAAGCGACAUCUUGGAAGAGGCAAAACUUGAGACAGGUCUUCAAGGAUUGGUGCCAUCUGGACAGGUUGAAGAGGAGUAGGAGGGCUUUCGGAUGUGGAGAAUGGCAUGCACAAAAGCACGGAGCAACACUUUAUGCCAGUUGGAUUAUGGUCCAUUGGGAGAAAGAUCAAUUAAGGUGAAACCCCAGUAGAGAAAGCACUGGAGAACAACAUUCAUUCUUCCUUAAUAAAUCUUAGUUUUAAAUAUUUGCUUUGAGUUUUGUUCCAUUAAUAAAGAAAAUAAGAAGGAAAACCAACCAAUAUUUUGUUUUUCCAUAUGCCGUAGUGGAAUCCUGAAGUUGUUGAAUUGAAUUAAUGCUUGAUUCAAUGUGAGGAAUGGACAAAAGACAUGCAGAGAUUCAAGUUCCCUCCGUAAUCUGGUAUUUAUUCAUCAAUCCAUCCAUCCAUCUAUCUAUUCAUCCAUCCAUCCACCCACUCACCCACUCAUCCGGCCAUUCACCCACCCACCUAUCCUCUUACCAUUAGGAAAUUCUUUUAUGUUAAGUGCUAUAAGAGCCAAUUCCUCUUUUUCAGUAAAUGGAGAAGAACAAUUUGUAUUAUAAGAAUUAGUGUGGGUUAGAUUAUUUAUAUCAUCUUUCCCUGGUGAGGGUUCAUGUCUAGGUGUUUCAGACUAGCAUUUUUCCUUGGGUAAUUUCCACUUUCCCUUUGUAAGCUGAUACUUUUACUACAUGUAAGGUCAUAAACUGUUGUUUUGUAAAAAAUAUUUUGACAUGGAUGAACAAUUUGGAGUGUAGAUAUGAAGACAUAAAAGAUAACUUGAAAAAAUCAGACUGAUUCUAACAUUUAUGUAGAGAGGUAAAUAAUCAAGAAUAAUUAGUAACAUUCUGAAAAAGAAGGGUAGCAAGAAGUGACUAUCCUAUUAUUAAAUCUUAUAAAAACUCAUUAAGACAGCAUGGUAUUGGCAUAAGAAUAAAAAGACAUCAUUGGAACAGAAUUGAAAGUUUAGAAAUAGACCUAAAUACAUACAAUAGUUUAAUAUAAGGCAAAGUUUACAUCUAAAAUCAGUAAAGAAAGAUUAAUCAGGGAAUGAGGACAACUAAGUCACACAUCACACCCUACAGUAUAAGUUCCAAAUGAAGAAAAUAUUUAAUGUUAAAAAGGAAAUACUGAAAAUACAAACACGUACAAAAAUUAUUUUAUAAUUACAGAGGAGGGAAAGGCCAUAAGUCAUAAAAUGAAAGAUUGAUUAAAAAUAAAGUACUUGCACCUGGUGAAAAACACCAACAUCAAAGUUCAAAGAUAAAUGACAAGCCAGGAAAAAUAUUUGCAAUUCUGUCAAAGUGUGAAUUUCUCUACUCUUAAAGGAGGCAUACAAACUGAUAAGAAAAAGACCAAUAUCAAACAAAUAGCAGAAAAAGAAUAGAAUAGUCAUGUUUAUACAAAGGGAAAUUUACAAAGAAAGAUCAUUUACAUUGCUUUAAAAAAGAGAAAUGCAAAGCAAAGCAUAACUGAGAUACAAUUUCACCUGUCAAAUUGGCAAAGAUUCAAAAGUUUGGUAAUACCUGGUAUUGGCCACAGUAUUGGCACAAACAGGCUUUCAAAUACAAAUAGUGGGGAUGUAAAUGGCAGAAGUUGGCAAACGAUGGCUUGUGAGCUCAAUUCAGCCUGCUGCUUGCUUUUGUACUGCCCAAGACCUAAGAACCAUUUUUAAGUAGUUGAAAAAAAUCAAAAUAAUAUUGUAUCGUAUCGUAUUGUAUUGUAUUUUACUGUACUGUAUUGUAUUGUAUAUUGAACAUUUGCUAAGAAUAGAUUUUAGGUGCUCUUAUUACACACACACACAAGGUAGCUAUGGAAGGUGAUGCAUAGGUUAAUUUGCUUGAACAUGUUAAUCAUUUCACUAUACAUAUGUGUAUGAAAACAAUCAUGUUGUAUACUGUAAGUAUAUAUCAAUAAAAUAAAACAUUUUGUGACACAUGAA
rnacentral:lncRNA from 10 species